rnacentral:rRNA from 1 species
UACGAGUAAUACUUAAAACUUAAAAGACUUGACGGUACUUCAUCCCGACCUAGAGGAGCCUGUCCAAUAACCGACAAUCCACGAUUAACCCAACCCCUUCUUGCCCCACAGUCUAUAUACCGCCGUCGUCAGCUUACCUUGUAAAAGAAAUAAAGUAAGCCAAAUAGUACCACACUAAAACGACAGGUCGAGGUGUAACUUAUGAAGAGGACCAAGAUGGGCUACAUUCUCCAACCAAGAAUACGAAUAACACUAUGAAAUUAGUGUUUAAAGGCGGAUUUAGCAGUAAGAUAAGAAUAAAAUACCUAACUGAAUAUAACGCAAUGAAGUGCGCACACACCGCCCGUCACCCCUGCCACCAC